AUUGAACGCUGGCGGCAUGCUUUACACAUGCAAGUCGAACGGUAACAGGGAGCUUGCUCCGCUGACGAGUGGCGAACGGGUGAGUAAUAUAUCGGAACGUACCCAAGAGUGGGGGAUAACGUAGCGAAAGUUACGCUAAUACCGCAUACGAUCUACGGAUGAAAGUGGGGGAUCGCAAGACCUCAGGCUCCUGGAGCGGCCGAUAUCUGAUUAGCUAGUUGGUUAGGUAAAGGCUCACCAAGGCGACGAGCAGUAGCUGGUCUGAGAGGACGACCAGCCACACUGGAACUGAGACACGGUCCAGACUCCUACGGGAGGCAGCAGUGGGGAAUUUUGGACAAUGGGCGCAAGCCUGAUCCAGCAAUGCCGCGUGAGUGAAGAAGGCCUUCGGGUUGUAAAGCUCUUUUGUCAGGGAAGAAACGGGAGUGGCUAAUAUCCGUUCCUAAUGACGGUACCUGAAGAAUAAGCACCGGCUAACUACGUGCCAGCCGCCGCAGUAA
rnacentral:rRNA from 1 species